rnacentral:rRNA from 1 species
AUUGAACGCUGGCGGCAGGCCUAGCACAUGCAAGUCGAGCGGAUGAAGGGAGCUUGCUCCUGGAUUCAGCGGCGGACGGGUGAGUAAUGCCUAGGAAUCUGCCUGGUAGUGGGGGAUAACGUCCGGAAACGGGCGCUAAUACCGCAUACGUCCUGAGGGAGAAAGUGGGGGAUCUUCGGACCUCACGCUAUCAGAUGAGCCUAGGUCGGAUUAGCUAGUUGGUGGGGUAAAGGCCUACCAAGGCGACGAUCCGUAACUGGUCUGAGAGGAUGAUCAGUCACACUGGAACUGAGACACGGUCCAGACUCCUACGGGAGGCAGCAGUGGGGAAUAUUGGACAAUGGGCGAAAGCCUGAUCCAGCCAUGCCGCGUGUGUGAAGAAGGUCUUCGGAUUGUAAAGCACUUUAAGUUGGGAGGAAAGGCAGUAAGUUAAUACCUUGCUGUUUUGACGUUACCAACAGAAUAAGCACCGGCUAACUUCGUG